UUACACGGAAACACACCGUUUUAAUAACAAGCUGACCACCUCAGGGUACCGCCAGCUGUGAGCUGUGAUCUGUUUUUAAAGUCACGCGUUGCCGGAGGUCUGAACUCUCCGAGUGCAAUUCUAGUAUGAAUUUGUGCUCUUGUGUGACUGUG